CAGUCGCCGCGGGAAUACGAAGGGUGCAAGCGUUAAUCGGAAUUACUGGGCGUAAAGCGUGCGUAGGCGGUGAGUUAAGUCUGCUGUGAAAUCCCCGGGCUCAACCUGGGAAUGGCAGUGGAUACUGGCUCGCUAGAGUGUGUCAGAGGAUGGUGGAAUUCCCGGUGUAGCGGUGAAAUGCGUAGAGAUCGGGAGGAACAUCAGUGGCGAAGGCGACUAUCUGGGCCAACACUGACACUGAGGCACGAAAGCGUGGGGAGCAAACAGGAUUAGAUACCCGCGUAGUCCCUGUCUCUUAUAA
rnacentral:rRNA from 1 species